rnacentral:rRNA from 1 species
GAUGAACGCUGGCGGCGUGCCUAAUACAUGCAAGUCGAGCGAACGGACGAGGAGCUUGCUCCUCUGACGUUAGCGGCGGACGGGUGAGUAACACGUGGAUAACCUACCUAUAAGACUGGGAUAACUUCGGGAAACCGGAGCUAAUACCGGAUAAUAUAUUGAACCGCAUGGUUCAAUAGUGAAAGACGGUUUUGCUGUCACUUAUAGAUGGAUCCGCGCCGCAUUAGCUAGUUGGUAAGGUAACGGCUUACCAAGGCAAAGAUGCGUAGCCGACCUGAGAGGGUGAUCGGCCACACUGGAACUGAGACACGGUCCAGACUCCUACGGGAGGCAGCAGUAGGGAAUCUUCCGCAAUGGGCGAAAGCCUGACGGAGCAACGCCGCGUGAGUGAUGAAGGUCUUCGGAUCGUAAAACUCUGUUAUUAGGGAAGAACAAAUGUGUAAGUAACUAUGCACGUCUUGACGGUACCUAAUCAGAAAGCCACGGCUAACUACGUG